rnacentral:rRNA from 1 species
CCUACGGGUGGCAGCAGUGAGGAAUAUUGGUCAAUGGGCGCGAGCCUGAACCAGCCAAGUAGCGUGAAGGAUGACUGCCCUACGGGUUGUAAACUUCAUUUGUAAAGGAAUAAAGUGAGGCACGUGUGUCUUUAUGUAUGUACUUUAUGAUUAAGGAUGGGAUAAAUCCGUGCCAGCAGCCGCGGUAAUACGGAGGAUCCGAGCGUUAUCCGGAUGUAUUGGGUUUAAAGGGAGCGUAGAUGGGUUGGUAAGUCAGUUGUGAAAGCUGGCGGCUCAACCGUAGAAUUGCAGUUGAUACUGGCAGCCUUGAGUGCAGUAGAGGUAGGCGGAAUUCGUGGUGUAGCGGUGAAAUGCUUAGAUAUCACGAAGAACUCCGAUUGCGAAGGCAGCUUACUAGACUGCAAAUGACACUGAGGCUCGAAAGUGUGGGUAUCAAACAGGAUUAGAUACCCUAGUAGUC